UACGGAGGGUGCAAGCGUUAUCCGGAUUUACUGGGUUUAAAGGGUGCGUAGGUGGACAGGAAAGUCAGUGGUGAAAUCUUCGAGCUUAACUCGGAAACUGCCGUUGAUACUAUUUGUCUUGAAUACUGUGGAGGUAAGCGGAAUAUGUCAUGUAGCGGUGAAAUGCUUAGAUAUGACAUAGAACACCAAUUGCGAAGGCAGCUUACUACACAGCGAUUGACGCUGAGGCACGAAAGCGUGGGGAUCAAACAGG
rnacentral:rRNA from 1 species